ACAGACUUCUUCCCGGAACGACUGUAAACUGAACUCUCUCCUAACCUAUCUUAUAAUACGUAAUUAAUCUCUUGGCUAUUUUAACGAUGUCUCCAGCACCUCAACAAAUGCGGACGAGACACUACAAACCAGAGAGAAUGUCGACUAUGAAAUAAAGUAUAAAUGUACCAGCCUACCCCUACUCGCACUAAUUAGUGCGUCGGAAAUUCGAACGUUAUAGGAAAAAGGUCGGCAUAACCGCUCUCAGGUUUCUUUCUGACGAUAGUAAUUCUCGGUAAUGUCAAUAUUCUGCAAUUUAUCCAACGUAUCACGUAAUUUUUUUAAUUUAUUUAAUUUAUCAUAUAUAUUCUUUAACACGCUAUAGCAUAAUCGAUAUUUGUGCGUUUUUUUUUUGUAACACGAUGUCUUUUUACAAAGUGAUUUAAUCUUAUUUUACUGUACAUUUUUAUGAUACAUUGUAAAAAAUAACUCUUAUGCGAUUAUUAAAAAAAAGGAGUUAAUAUAAUCUUAAUUAAUUAAAUCGAUAUUUACGUGUGACUGUAUGCACAGAGAUCUCGCGAUCGCAAGCCUAACACAGUAAGAAACUGCAUUGUAACACGUCCUGUAUAUUAGAUAUACGACUGAUUGAUUUCUCUGCAUAGAUGCCUUACGUAGUUGAUUAGCGAAUUAGUCUUGGAUAGGCCUGUAGAAAACGCAAUGCACGUUAUGCUUACGCACGUAUAUUGCUACUUGAAAAUACUAUAAAACUCAGAUUAAAAUAUUUUUUACAGCUCUUUGAAAGCAUAUUUAAUUAUAUAUUAAUGUUACUGUGUACUGUUAUUAUUAUGAUUAUAAUUAUUAUUACUCAACUAUUAAAAACACGUAUCUCCCUUUGUCUCAUUCAUAAAUGAUGUAAAGUAGAAUAUAAUACACAAGUUAGCGAAUUAAAAAAAAAUGCUCU
rnacentral:lncRNA from 13 species